rnacentral:misc_RNA from 1 species
CUUCACUCCACGGCCAAGCACCAUACAAGUGUAGCUUUAUUCUAAUUCCCAUAUUCUCCAAUACAAAAAAUUGAAUCCCUAUCUCUCUCUUUCUCGCUCUCUCUCGACCUUUCUCUUGCUUUCUCUCACCUGUUCUCCGUUUUUAAUAAAUGUAAUUUGAUUUUUAUGCAUGUUGAAUGUGUCUUAUGUAUCUUAACGUUGAUGGGUGUCGCUUUCUGUUGUUUAAUCAAGUGAUAUGGAGCUCUGCAAGUUGCUGCGUUGAAUUUGUUUCGUAUACAGUCUAAGUGUAUGUUGUUUUGUCUCAGAGACUCAGCUCUGCUUGCCUUCACGCCAGAAGAUAAUGCACUUAUAUCUGUGGACUUCUCUAACUUAAUAUCUUCUGAUUCAGAUAUCUAACUUUUCAGCUUGUGGGUUCGCUAAAGAACUGAUCUUUGGGCGGACUUUUUAAGAAUGAAACUGCAUUACUGUUAUUGUUUGUGAUUGCAAUACUCUUUUCUUCGUUUAGCAAGGUUUCAGAUUUGUCUUUUGAUAUCAGAGUUCUAAGAUUCUUGUUAGGCAGAGUAAGCCUUUAUCUAGUAUCAUUUAGCACUCUAUCUAUAAAAUGUAUAGCACCCGCUCAAGUCCUCUAGCUAUAUGGCAGCCUCCCAUCUUUCAUUGUCCUUAUAUUUUAUCAUGUAAAAAUUCGCACUUUACUGUAUGAAAGAACUAUUAGUUUAGGCCAAGGACGUUCGCUGGCUGGGAUCAAACUAUGUUUUGAAUUCUAAUGGACCAACAUGCACACGGCUUCUUAAGUCGAGAUAUAUUUUUGUCUUCAUUUUUUGUGCGUGUAUAUCUGGCUACGUAGGCUGAGCCUUAGCUUGAAGUUUCGUAGGAUACAUCUUCUGACAACUCAGGUUCCUUUCUCCUUCACUUUGUUAUAUAUUUUUAUUUUUUGCAACACUGCAACAAGUGUGCCUGACUCACUAGUGUCUAAACUCCUGAGGAUUGCUUCAACUAUUAAUGUCAUAUCACAUUAAUUACAUGUGCACUUCUCAAAGUGAAACUUCCAUCUGCAUGGUCAACCUGGGAACUUUUUUGACUCAAGUUUUAUGUAACUGUUUGUGUAAACUGUCCAUUUUGUGACUUAUGCAAAAUUAUGUGGUGUAUUUGCUGGCAGGACCUUCCAGUUGUAAGUUUGUAACAGCUCUCACCAAAGGGUUGCCGGUGACCCUUUAACGUGCAGUUUUUUCUAAUAUGAUGUUUUUGUACUCUGCCUCAAAUAUUUAUAACUAUCAUGUGUUCUGUUCCUGUGAAUAUAGCGGAUUAGGAUGCUGCAGGAUCAUUUUUGUGAUUGCAUUAUAUGCCGGUGAUUUAUAUCACAUUUUACUUUAUUUGUUGAAAAAUUGCAAGUGGUCUCCAUUUUUAAUUAUGGUAAUGGUGAUUUUGAUGACUAGACAAGCUGACUCCAGCUGCAUU